AUUGAACGCUGGCGGCAUGCUUUACACAUGCAAGUCGAACGGUAACAGGCCGCAAGGUGCUGACGAGUGGCGAACGGGUGAGUAAUGCAUCGGAACGUGCCCAGUCGUGGGGGAUAACGCAGCGAAAGCUGCGCUAAUACCGCAUACGAUCUAUGGAUGAAAGCGGGGGACCGUAAGGCCUCGCGCGAUCGGAGCGGCCGAUGUCAGAUUAGGUAGUUGGUGGGGUAAAGGCUCACCAAGCCAACGAUCUGUAGCUGGUCUGAGAGGACGACCAGCCACCCUGGGACUGGGCCACGGCCCAGACUCCAACGGGAGGCAACAGUGGGGAAUUGUGGACAAUGGGAGGAAGCCUGAUCCAGCAAUGCCACGUGCAGGAAGAAGGCCUUCGGGUUGUAAACUGCUUUUGUACGGAACGAUACGGUCCUGGUUAAUACCUGGCGCUAAUGACGGUACCGUAAGAAUAAGCACCGGCUAACUACGUGCCAGCAGCCGCAGUAACAC
rnacentral:rRNA from 1 species